AGUAAAUCCCGGUGUUUGUCUGGACGGUGAGAGGAAGACCGACGGUUGUAACCAGUGUUCCUGCUUGGGAGGGGCCUGGGCUUGCACCCUCAGAGCCUGCGUCGACCCCACAGAUACAUUUCCUGGAUCGCUGCCAUGCAAGCUGGCUCCCCACAUCAAAGGGUGUUGAAAAAUCCCGCCACGGUAUCAAGAAUACCUGCUUGACUAAAUUAGGCAGGACAAUUGUUGACUGAUCAAAGAACAUGACAUGGCAACCAAGACCCGAGUUCGUAUGCACAAUUUCUUUCCUGAUUGUACGCCUUGUAUUACAUCUGAGGGGCAUGUUUAGGAAGUUAAGCCGUUCGUUCAUUGUAUGCGCGACUGAAUUUUUCCACUUUUAAUU